GACUCUCGGCAACGGAUAUCUUGGUUCUCGCAUCGAGAAGAACGUAGCGAAAUGCGGUAUUUGGUGUGAAUUGCAGAAUCCCUUGAACCGUCUGAUCUUUGAACCCACGUUGCGCCCGAGGCGAUCCGCCAAGGGCACGUCUGCCUGGGCGUCACGCA
rnacentral:rRNA from 1 species